rnacentral:rRNA from 1 species
CGGGCAGACUUGAGUACUGCAGGGGAGACUGGAAUUCCUGGUGUAGCGGUGGAAUGCGCAGAUAUCAGGAGGAACACCGGUGGCGAAGGCGGGUCUCUGGGCAGUAACUGACGCUGAGGAGCGAAAGCGUGGGGAGCGAACAGGAUUAGAUACCCUGGUAGUCCACGCCGUAAACGGUGGGUACUAGGUGUGGGUUUCCUUCCUUGGGAUCCGUGCCGUAGCUAACGCAUUAAGUACCCCGCCUGGGGAGUACGGCCGCAAGGCUAAAACUCAAAGAAAUUGACGGGGGCCCGCACAAGCGGCGGAGCAUGUGGAUUAAUUCGAUGCAACGCGAAGAACCUUACCUGGGUUUGACAUGCACAGGACGCCGGCAGAGAUGUCGGUUCCCUUGUGGCCUGUGUGCAGGUGGUGCAUGGCUGUCGUCAGCUCGUGUCGUGAGAUGUUGGGUUAAGUCCCGCAACGAGCGCAACCAUUGUCUCAUGUUGCCAGCGGGUAAUGCCGGGGACUCGUGAGAGACUGCCGGGGUCAACUCGGAGGAAGGUGGGGAUGACGUCAAGUCAUCAUGCCCCUUAUGUCCAGGGCUUCACACAUGCUACAAUGGCCGGUACAAAGGGCUGCGAUGCCGCGAGGUUAAGCGAAUCCUUUUAAAGCCGGU